UUGGAGGGCAAGUCUGGUGCCAGCAGCCGCGGUAAUUCCAGCACCAAUAGCGUAUAUUAAAGUUGUUGCAGUUAAAAAGCUCGUAGUUGAAUUUCGGGGUCAGUAGGUUGGUCAUGCCACUGGUAUGUACUGGUCUCACUGAUUCCUCCUUCCUGAUGAGCCGUAAUGCCAUUAAUUUGGUGUUGCGAGGAAUCUGGACUGUUACUUUGAAAAAAUUAGAGUGUUUAAAGCAAGCUAACGCUUGAAUACAUUAGCAUGGAAUAAUGAAAUAGGACGUUCGAUCCUAUUUUGUUGGUUUCUAGGAUUGACGUAAUGAUUAAUAGGGAUAGUUGGGGGCAUUAGUAUUCAAUUGUCAGAGGUGAAAUUCUUGGAUUUAUUGAAGACUAACUACUGCGUAAGCAUUUGCCAAGGAUGUUUUCAUUAAUCAAGAACGAAAGUUAGGGGAUCGAAGACGAUCAGAUACCGUCGUAGUCUUAACCAUAAACUAUGCCGGCUAGGGAUCGGAUGAUGUUAAUUUUUUAAUGACUCAUUCGGCGCCUUACGGGAAACCAAAGUGUUUGGGUUC
rnacentral:rRNA from 1 species